rnacentral:rRNA from 1 species
AUUGAACGCUGGCGGCAUGCUUUACACAUGCAAGUCGAACGGUAACAGGCCGCAAGGUGCUGACGAGUGGCGAACGGGUGAGUAAUGCAUCGGAACGUGCCCAGUCGUGGGGGAUAACUACUCGAAAGAGUAGCUAAUACCGCAUACGAUCUAUGGAUGAAAGCGGGGGACCGUAAGGCCUCGCGCGAUUGGAGCGGCCGAUGUCAGAUUAGGUAGUUGGUGGGGUAAAGGCUCACCAAGCCAACGAUCUGUAGCUGGUCUGAGAGGACGACCAGCCACACUGGAACUGAGAAACGGCCCAGACCCCAAGGGGAGGCAGAAGUGGGGAAUUUUGGACAAUGGGGGCAAGCCUGAUCCAGCAAGGCGGCGUGAAGGAAGAAGGCCUUCGGGUGGUAAACUGCUUUGUACGGAACGAAACGGCUCUGGUUAAUACCCGGGGCUAAUGACGGUACCGUAAGAAUAAGCACCGGCUAACUACGUG